rnacentral:rRNA from 1 species
AGUGAACGCUGGCGGUAUGCCUAACACAUGCAAGUCGAACGGCAGCACAUUAAGAGCUUGCUAUUACGGGUGGCGAGUGGCGGACGGGUGAGGCAUACAUCGGAAUCUACUUUUUCGUGGGGGAUAACUUAGGGAAACUUACGCUACUACAUCAUACGACCUACCGUUGAAAUCAGGUUUUAUUCGUACCUUGCGCGCUUGCAUGAGCCGAUGUCGGAUUUGCUAGUUGGCGGGGUAAAGGCCCACCAAGGCGACAUUCCGUAGCUGGUCUGCGAGGAUGAUCGGCAAAACUGGAACUGGAAAACGGUCCAGACUCCUACGGGAGGAAGCAGAGGGGAAUAUUGGACAAUGAGCGAAAGCCGGAUCAAGAAAGACCGCGGGGGUGAAGAAGGCCUUCGGGUGGAAAAGCCCUUUUGUAGGGAAAGAAAAGCAGCAGGGUAAUAACCCGCUGUACUGACGGUAACUAAAGAAUAAGCAACGGCUAACUUCGUG